AGGAAUAUAACUCAAUGGUAGAGUAGCUGACUCUUAAUCAGUUUGUUGUGGGUUCGAGUCCCACUAUUCCUACCA
rnacentral:tRNA from 1 species